AUUGAACGCUGGCGGCAUGCCUUACACAUGCAAGUCGAACGGCAGCACGGGAGCAAUCCUGGUGGCGAGUGGCGAACGGGUGAGUAAUAUAUCGGAACGUGCCCGGUCGUGGGGAUAACGUAGCGAAAGCUACGCUAAUACCGCAUACGAUCUACGGAUGAAAGCGGGGGAUCGCAAGACCUCGCGCGAUUGGAGCGGCCGAUAUCAGAUUAGGUAGUUGGUGAGGUAAAGGCUCACCAAGCCGACGAUCUGUAGCUGGUCUGAGAGGACGACCAGCCACACUGGGACUGAGACACGGCCCAGACUCCUACGGGAGGCAGCAGUGGGGAAUUUUGGACAAUGGGCGCAAGCCUGAUCCAGCAAUGCCGCGUGCAGGAAGAAGGCCUGG
rnacentral:rRNA from 1 species